UUGGAUUCACGCCUCUCACGU
rnacentral:misc_RNA from 1 species